rnacentral:lncRNA from 1 species
CUUUAAUGUCACGCUCCUCAUUUUUCUCUGGCUGCUGACCGCUGACAGGGGCGACAAGGUGUGGAUGACAUGGGAGUGAUAUGUUCUGGCUGUGUGUGUGUGUGUGUGCGUGUAAGGGUGGGAUCCACGUGCAUAUGCACACGUGAUAUCAUUAGAGAAUUUCACAGAUGAGCAGGGGCCAUCUUUUUUUUUUUUUACUCUCAGCCAAAUCUUCAGCAUGAGGGAAAUGAAGGAGACAAUUACACACACACACAUUGAACACACUCCUUCAUCUGGGACACACUUUCCUCACUUUGAGAGAAACAAUUUCUCAAACUAACACAUGCUAUGUUGCCCUCAACUGUGCACACACACACAGGCACACACACACACACUCAACAAUGGUAGGCUCUCUUGCUCACAAACACACUUCCCUUUGUUUUCAGACAAAGGCUUGCUUCGGCAGCUUUGUCAUGAUUCUACAAAAGAUUUCUGUAGCCAAAGGAGAGGUCUUAACAGGGAUCUAGUCAGUGAUUGGGUAAAAAUCACUCACAUUGUUCUCCCUCCUUCACUCUCAUCUCUCCUCCUCUCCCUCAUCGUCUCUCUUUCUCUUUCUGCCUCACCUCCAGUGGAGGAGCAUUACUUGCGGGCAGGCAGUCAUUUAGCUCUCUCUUCCGGUGCACCUUUGUAGCAACUUGUGGAGGUAGUGCCGGUGUCUUGUGUGGGCUGAUGAUCAGAGAGCUGGAGCUUCAGAGGGGUAGUGAGGCUCAGAGAGGAUCAGGCAGCCGAGAGAGCAGCAGAGGUGACGUCUGUCAGGAGGGGUUUGAUCUCUGCAUACCGGAGAAAAUGCUGUUCGUUUCAUGGCAAAUUUCUGUCUGGUUGUGGUGAGAUUUGGUUUGACAAACGGCAGCUGUUGUCUUUUAAAUUAGUGAUAAACGAGUCAAGGCUGGGAUGAAAAAGGUGCAAUGAUUAAGAUGUUCAAAGAGAAGAAUGAAGAUUUAAAUUGAAUGUUUCUCAUCUGCAUCCAAAUCUCUCUGCUAUAUCAAACGUCUGAAAAACAGCUUGUUUAUUUACAAAGGACUGACCUCAGACUGUGACAGAAAACAGGUAAUAACUUCCUGUAAUCAAAGACGGAUGUGAGUCAUCUUAAAAUGUGUGUGCUUGUGUGUCCAUAUGCACUCCUAUGUGUCCAGGUUUGUGUGUGUGUGUGUGAUAGGCAGUGAAAAAAGCAAAGAGAUGCAAAGAUUACAGAGCUAGACUAAUACAGCGCUUCCUGUCUCUUUCCAUCCAAUUUGACAAUGAAUCAAUUUUAAAUUACUUUAGUCAACGGAUCAACAGAUCAUUUCCGCCAGACAACAAACUCUUAAUUAAACACCAAAGAGCUUAACUAGGUUAAAUCAGAUGUUCUCAUUGUUCAUGAUAUUCUGGGGGACUUUUUCAAAACAUUUAAACAAAAGUUUUAAUCCUGAUAAUCAAAAAAAAAAUCAAAAGAUAAGACAAAACUUUAAAAACAGCUGAAGUUAAAGACAAUCUCAUUACAACAGUUAAACAUGGGAUCACAGAGUCUGGUAAUAAACUAUGUGUGGAUAAUCUUUGCAGAGGUAGCACCACCAGCCUUCAGUCCCCUUAACAGUCCAGCGCACACAUGCCUGAGCAGGUUAUGUAUUGCUUUAGUCAGAAACCGCCUAAGUCCUACUUUAUCUCCAUUUUUAGACCUAAACGCUGCCAAACUGCAUCAAAAUCAUUCUUCAUCUGAGCUUUGUUUACCUAGUGGUGGUUGGGUAUUAAAACAUGAUGGUGAGUGGCUGCACGACAGCCUAAAAAACAACAUCUGACUGACAAUCUGGGCCUACGACAAUGAAUAUAUUGAUACUCUUGAAGACAAACAAGAGUGAGUUUUUUUUUUUUUCAAAAGAAAGUUUUAUAAUGUUGUUUAAUCAUGUAGUUGACUAAUGUAAACAUCCGUGCUCAAAACCUAGCAAAGGAAAUAGAUAAAAUGGCUUUCAAUUUUUGUGUUUGGUGUGUUCAGUUUGUUUUUCUCGCCUUACAAUACAAACAUUUCCAUCCAUUUUUUCUGUUUAUUAUGGUUAUUCCUGAAUGUUGAAUCUACUAAAAGACUAUUUAUGACUAUUUAUGAAUUAUGAAUUAUCUAACUCUUUCAGAUAUGUAAAUAAUAUAAGUAUAAACUCUAGUAGUGCUCUUCUAGUUUUUAACAGGUGUCAAUAUCUCUCCCUAAAGGCGAGUAUUUUUCCAAUUAUUUGCUAGAAUACGAGACUUAUUAAUAGACUAAAAGAUUUCCAGUCUACACUCCGAGGGCAUUAGAGAAGAUUUUCUCCUUCACUGAAAUCCUCUGCAGCCUGGGGACUAAACACUUUCAACAAGCAGGUCAUAUUCCCUGUCGCAUUCGCUCAGUUACUCUAAUACUUGAGGAAUUGUAGAGGACGAUCAUCAGAGGACACCAAAUAGAGGCUUACUGGAGUUUUUAGAGAUAAAAUAGUGCUCAUGUAUCAGUCUUAAGGAAAGAGCACAAUGUGGGGAAAAAAACAUCAUCCUACUAAAAUCUCAGAACCUGAAAAAUGGGCAUUAUGUUUUAAGGAUUACACACUAGGUUGGUUAAGAAGAUUAGUCCAUCUUUGUUCUUAUGAAUCCCUGGAUGAACUGUGAAGUGUGCAGAUGGCAGUUUACUCAAAAUAUUAUUUAUUUAGCUGUCAAUUUAGUUUUAAUGUUCUUCUGAGUUAUUUUUUUGUAAAACUAUUUCACAGCUUUUCAUUUCAUUUUUCCAGGUCAUGGUCUGUGUUAACACUCCCUCUGGUCCUGAAACCUGUCAUCAGGGAUGAAGGAUCCAACUCUAUGACAGGGGUCAUAACCUGAGAUCAAGGACUGGGCCCUUUGACUGGACUGAAACACGGGGCUCCUGAACUGCAGUAGUGGCCAUGAAUAACCCAACCAAGAUCAAACAGACCCUUCAAUUUGAUGGAAAAGCUUACGCACAGUCUUUGGCCCCUGAAGGCUAUUGAGUAAGCAAAGCCAGCUCUGAGUCCCCAUACACCAGAGAAUACCCAACAAUGGUCCAACACAUUGUCUUGUUAGCAGCUAUGCUCCUCUGUUUCUCCGCACCUAUGACAAUGAUCCAGUACGAUACAAUCUCUUCAUCCCUUUAGGACCCUAAAACCCCCAAUGAGUCAAUUAUUAUGCGGCCAAAUAUCGUUGAAACUCACAGAACCUUAUUAAAAAUUCUGCUUGUGAUUUUGAGAUUUCCAAAUCUGUCAAGCUGAAUUACUGCACAAAUGCAGACAGGCAACCCAACCAGAAUUUACCAUGUGCAGCUACAGCCAUCAAACCAAAGCUGUGACAUUUACUCGAUACAAAAGUGUGAGAAAGCUUUUAGGUAGUGGAAUGAAAUCCAAUUUCAUGGAUUACAUCACUGGCCGCUGUGGAAACCCUGUUAUCUCUCUGAAGAUAUGUUUUUAAAAAAUGAGUACGACCCAAAGCCUCAACACAAUAAAGCUAUUACCAAUGUUAGAAACAAAAUAGAACGCAAAUGCAUUUUUGACCAAUAUCAAACUGGAAACAAUAAAUCUGAGAGUAGCUGGGAGGUAGCAUGAGCUUCACCUAACCAAAAAUUGUGCAAACGCCAAAUAUUCAUUUUACUCAAGCAUUGUAACUUCUACUUUACAAUGUGUGAGACAAAUAUCAAGUAAUAUACGGGACACAUGAACCAAAGCAGCACCAGCAACAGCCAUCCUUGAGAGAUGGUUUAAUACUGGCUAACAAAGACUCUGCAAGGAUCAUCAUCAGGAGAAACGUACUGCAAAUGAAGAAACAAUACAACUGCAAAAACUGAUGCAAAAGUCCAAAACAAACCCAGCAGUGGAAACAUGCUGCAAAUAAUGUGCUGGAGUGACUCAAAACAACCACACUAGGACAUGGGGACAUAUGUCAUUGGACACACUCAGCUCUGACAGUGUUUUUUUAUUGGUAAUACUCUUUAAUAUCAGAUAAAUUCAACGUCUCGUCUUCUUUAUCCCAUCAAUAAUUCAGAUGUAUCUCUCAGUGCCUCUAGAGGCCUGGAGCACUUCUGCUGAGAAGUUUUGCUUAUUCUUUUGCAUUUAGCUUUUUUAUUUUUGCAGCUGCUUUCUGUCUGUUUUUGCUAUGUCUCAUUUGUGUGAGCUUGAAAGCUCAUGACUGAAGUAAAAAUGAAGUAAAAAAAAUCUCUCAGCAAUGGAUAAUAAAUGAGUGAAUGACCGCACAAUCUGUGUGUCAACACUCAGUUACUACGAAACUCAUGUCUCGACUUUAAGCAACAAACACACUGCUUUGACCAGAGCAUUUAAAUGUAUGUUGCAUUGCACUAACAGCAAUUUCAUUUGCAAUAACAGCCCAAGAAAAACUCCUCCGGGUGUCAAAUGUCCACAGUGUAAGAUUCCUUGAAAAUGAUCUGAAAUGCUUUGCACAAGGGUAAAUGUAAUGAACCACUAAUUAUCAUUAUUAUUUCAGCAACAAAUAUAAAGUACUUUUGCACCCACACAGUGCCUUGAGUAGAACUGUUUACUUCUGAGCUUUAGUGUUUGCAUGUGAGAUAACAGGACCAAUGGGCUUUAGAAAGCUUUUUAAUUUUGUUUCAACAUCUAAUUGCCCAUCUGUGUCUCAAGAGCUGAAAUUAUAUAAAGACGUGUGGAAUUCAAUUAGCCGUUCACGUUUCAGGGACCUCUCUUUGUUCAUGCUGGAUCACAAAAAUGGUUCACUGACUCACCAAAGAACAAUUUGCGCCAUUGCUACGAUUGGUCACACUGUGGCAUUUACAGCCAUAACUUAUCAAAAUAUUGGUAUCUUUCUGCUGUGAUAAAGGGGUACAGUAGGUGCAGUAAGUCACAUUUUUACUUAACGUAGCCACUGCCGUCAAACUUGAAAUAUGUAUCGGUGUUUGUAUGCGCAGGCUUUCUGAUUGCCUCAGUUUUAACCUCUGUAAUUUCCACAUGAGCAGGAAAUGUAAUGGUAACACUAAAUCACGAUGCUUAUGCGCACUAUUUGCACUUAAAGUUUCCAUACAUAUGUGCUGAGGGAUUCGAACCUUUUAUGGUACAAAUCUUGUCUUUUGUUAGCUCUCCUCGGCUCAGUCGCUCGGAGCAAAAAUUAUGUGAUUUUUUUUUCCCCAAUAAUGCCUCUUUUGAAGUGUUUAACACAUGCUUCACUAAUUUUCCUCAUUACUGAGCACAGUUUUGUAUUCCAAUACCAAACUCAAGGAUACUGUACACAUUGUUGCCAAUGUAGUCUCAUCAAUAAUUCAUCCAUUGGAUAAUUUAUUCAUUAAUGACCUUACCAUGGAAGUCUGGGAGAAGACAGUGGAUUAGUGCAUCUCAGAGGAGAUACAUCUGUUCUCCCCUGUUUUUCUCCCUCCCUGCUCGACUCUCAUCAUGUGAAUGCAGUACAGAUAAAGAGCAACAACAUUAAAAAGCAUCCACACAUUAACUUACAUCUUUUAAGAUCUUUGUUUCUCUUAAUAACUGAGAUCAGAAAUCAGAUUUCAUAAUGACUUGUUUUGGAUUGUUAGUUGAGGGUUGCGUAAGAUCAGCAAGUUCAACUAUCAUUGUCUUUUCAUCUGUGAUGAAAGGGAUAACAUAACAAAAGCAAGGCCAGUUAUUUUUUUCUUUUUCUCAUCUCAUGUGGUUUGAUCAACUAUAUUAGGGCCAGCUGAUGUUGCAACAGAGAUUAAAAAAAUUUAGUCCAGGUAUGAAAUUCAAUUAGGAAAUGGGAGAAAAGAACAGACUUUAUAUCAGCAGUCACUCCAAUACUAAAAAAUACAGACUUUCCUCCAAGUAUGAGUGAUGAUGGGUUUUCUCUUUGGGGAGAUGCAGGUAUAAAAACUCUGAAAGAUCUCUUUGAAGGGGAUAAUAUGAUGUCAUUUGAGUAACUAAGACAAAAAUAUGAUCUACCUCAAACACAUUUCUUUAGAUUUCUGCAAGUAAGAAGCUUUAUACAUGACCAAACUAAAUAUAAAUUUAGCAUAGAAAUGUCACCAGUUGAAGAAUUACUCUCAAAAUAAGAAGUAAUAAAUCAAUAUUAGGACUAUGCUAUGAAGCCCUCUACAAAUCCAGUAAAGCUAAAAAGCCACCCUGCAGGUGUGGCCCCAAGAUCUUGAGGUGGAUAUUGACGAGGAUAUAGGGACAAGUAUAUGGGAGCAUACCGGUUAAAUAUCUGUGUGUAACAGAGCUAAAGAGUUGCAAUUCAGGCUACUACACCACCUUCAGAUCUCUUCUUAACUUAGACAUAUGAUGGACCCUGAAAAGUCGGCUGUAUAUAUCAAAUGUUGAAAGGAGGUUGGCAGUUUUAUACAUUCAAUAUGGUCAAGCAUUCAUAUUCAAGACUUUUGGAUCAAAAUUAUCACAAAGCUUAAUUUGGUUUUCAGUAUGAACAUAAAGAUGGAUCCAGAAUGCCUCCUCUUAGGAACGCCUCAUCCUCAAAUGAAUGACACUCACAAUCAAAAACUGCUUAGCAUGUUAACAUAUUCUGCAUGAAAAAGAGUACUAUUGAAAUGGAUUUAACAUAAACCACCAACUGUUUCUGACUGGCAUGAGGUCAUAAUUGAUUUGCUUCCUAUGGAAUAUUAGACAUAUUGAUCCAGAGGGACAAUUGGACAGUUGUAUCGUGUAUGGACUCCAUUUCUUGAUUAUGUGGAGCCAAGGAUAUGCAGUUUAUUCUGGAGGACUCUUCACAAACCAAGACAAGAUGGCUAGUGGACUGGGGAGGCUCUGUUGUCUGUAUUGCUUCUAUCAUUGUAUGUGAUAUGUAUGUGUAAGGCUUCAAUACUCUGGUACUAUACUUGUUUAUGCAGGACUGUGCUGUGAUUAAGUUGAAAUUUGUUUUUAUUUGGGGAUAGGGUAUUAAUGAAAAAAAAAAGAAGUAUGCACUAUUUGUUAAAAUUGGGAUGCUUAAUGUUCAAUUUUUUUUUCUUUUAAAUUAGUCCACAAAAUGUGUUUGAAGAGUAGUAACUAAAGUCUGAGUAACAACUUUGCUGCAUUUAAAAAUAAAGUUAUUUAAUCACCAGAAA